GUGGGCGGCCCUUCCGGGGGCGUGGCCAGGCAGGUGGGCGGCCCUUCUGGGGGCGUGGCCAGGCAGGUGGGCGGCCCUUCCGGGGGCGUGGCCAGGCAGGUGGGCGGCCCUUCCGGGGGCGUGGGCAGGUGGGCGACCCUUGGGGGGCAUGGGCAGGUGAGUGGCCCUUCAGGGGCGUGGCAUGUGCAGGUGGGCAGCCCUUCCAAGGGCGCGGCCAGGCAGUUGGGCGGCUCUUCCAGGGACAUGGGCAGAUGGGCCACCCUUGGGGUGCAUGGGCAGGAUUGCACUCACCAGCGUCUGAGGGAUCCGGAAGCCCCAGAUGUAGCCCCGUCCCCGGGACUUGGCAAGAGGAGGAACGCAGGCACAGACAGCCCCUGGGGGAUGCCAGGAGGGACCCCCCCACUCAGAACCCCACAGCAGGAGCUCAAGAAUGCACUCUGGGGCAGGGUGGCUGGAGGGCCCUGCACUGAAGCCCACGGUGCUGGCUGGUAUUGAUCCCACUCGCCCGUCUCAGCCUCUGGCUCCGGUCCCCUCCCUGCUCUGCCAGAGGUCCCAACAACCACAACCGUCUGUCACCCUCCCAGUGAGGCAGGAGAGCACCUGGCCCUGAGUCCCGUUUGUCCCAUUUGUCCAGUGGAGCAGCCACCGGCCCUGACCUGGACCACGUGCUGGGCGCCUCCUGGCAGCCCGUUCUGCUCCCGAAUGCCCCGGCUUAGUCAGUCUGGGAUGCGGCCCUGGACACCGGGCUUUAUGCAGCUCUGAAGUGAUCCCAGCACACAGCCCGGGUCAAGCUCAGCGCUCGGCAACCAUAGGCACCCAACAACGGGCUGCAGCCAUCAGUAACAACGGCAGCUCCAACGCCCAGAGAACUCACGGAGCAGACACACAUCAGAUGAAGACGCGGAGGCCUGAGCGCUGGGGGUCGCCCGGGGCUGCACAGCGGGUCAGAGGCCAACCCUGGGCGGAGCCAGGCCACACCCUCCCUCAAGGAUUCACAGUCUCCCCAAAGUAACCGCAACGAGGGACCCUCCCGUCACCAAACUUCCUUUCAGUCACUUCCGCUUGUACUAAUUCUGGCCCAACCGUUCAUUAUAUUUUUACAAUUCUUAUCUUGGUGUGUAUUUUUUGACCCUAAAAAUCCUAACUCCAUUCCAUCAAUAUUUUGUAUAUGCAGAUUUCUAGCACAGUAAGUCAUAAAAUGUGCCUCUCCUGGCA
rnacentral:lncRNA from 1 species